rnacentral:ncRNA from 1 species
CAAAGGUUUGGUCCUGGCUUUAUCAUCAGUUAUAACUAAAUUUACACAUGCAAGUAUCCGCACUCCUGUGAGAUCCCCCUCAAUCCUUCCCCAGAGCAGAGGAGAUGGUAUCAGGCACACUUUUCGUAGCCCAAGACACCUUGCUUCGCCACACCCCCAAGGGCAUUCAGCAGUGAUAAACAUUAAGCCAUUAGUGAAAACUUGACUUAGUUAGUGUUAAAAGAGUCGGUCAAACUCGUGCCAGCCACCGCGGUUAUACGAGAGACUCAAAUUGAUAACAACGGCGUAAAGCGUGGUUAAGAUAAAUCUCAAAUUAAAGCCGAAUCUUCUCCCUGCUGUCAUAAGCAUAUGAGACGCUAGAAGUUCUACCACGAAAGUAGCUUUAUACAAUCUGACCCCACGAAAGCUAUGAUACAAACUGGGAUUAGAUACCCCACUAUGCAUAGCCCUAAACAAUAAUAGAUCCUCAUACCUCUAUUCGCCUGGGAAUUACGAGCAUCAGCUUAAAACCCAAAGGACUUGGCGGUGCUUAAUACCCACCUAGAGGAGCCUGUUCUAUAACCGAUAACCCCCGUUGAACCUCACCCCUUCUUGCUUUUUCCAAUCUAUAUACCGCCGUCGUCAGCUUACCCCUAAGGAGUUAAUAGUAAGCAAAAUUGGCUUAGCCCUAAACGUCAGGUCGAGGUGUAGUGAAUGAGGGGGGAAGAAAUGGGCUACAUUCUCUAACUUUAGCAGAUACGAAAAGUGUCCUGAAAAAAUACAUUUAAAGACGGAUUUAGAAGUAAAUAGAAAACAGAAUGUUUUAUUGAAAUAGGCCCUAAAGCGCGCACACACCGCCCGUCACUCUCUCCAAACAAUAAAAAGCCUUCAAUAAAACCAAUACUAGCUUUAACAGGGGGGACAAGUCGUAACAUGGUAAGUGUACCGGAAGGUGUACUUGGAUUAU